GUGAAAAUCCCUGUUCCCACCCGAUCACUGAAGUUAAGCAUCAUCGAGCGAGGACAGUUUUUGAUAGGGUGACCACCUGGGAAC